UCAGCAUGAGACCUGAGUACGUUUGUUCGCUCCAUUUGGUACUACAUAAUGAGAAAAAAAGACUUCAAUACUCAUUUAGAACAUUUAUAUUGCAAAAAAUACUUAACUAUAUAAAAGGUACAUUUGCAAACCUUGAUUCUCAUUUUCAAUAAAUUCAACUGCAGAAAUACUUGUGCUAAGGAGAGCAUCAGAUGUCGACAUGUGUCGAGGCUGAGAGUAUGUGCUUCUGUAUCUUUGAAUGCCUUCAUACCAAUCGGAUUCCCCAUAUGGAAAGAGUAAUGGAUAUUGCAACGGAUCAUAACACCUAUAAUAGUAAUGAACUCUAUGUGAAUCACCAGAAUGUCCAUAGAUAGUAAUAUGAUGAACAUGAACAUCAGCAUUUUCAUUGUCUUUAACCCAUAUAGCAGCUAUUUGAGAUGCUAUAGGAGUAUUGAAAACUCUUUAAUCAAGUCCAGGAUCGCAUCAUAUUUGUAUUCGAUGGUCAUGCAAGUUCGUCAUAUCACUUAAAGACCUAAAGAAUUUACUAUAUGGAUUUGUUUUCAAAAUUUCAAUUAAAACAAUCAAAGUAGGUUCAGUAAAAUUAGAUGAUAUUUUCAUACGAUUUUGAACUUCAUUAUUUGUAUCGUAAAAAUAUAGUUGCAUAUAAGAAGACUUAUUGUUCUGGGGCACAAGUUGAUUUAUAUAAUGAUGUACUUGUUCUUGAACCCUAAAUGUGUAAAUACCUUUAUACGCUUUAAAGAAGUCUUUGUCGUAUUUCACACCAAAUGAAGUGAAAGAAAAUGGUUAUUAUAUCCCCUUACAAUUUUAUUGAAUUCCAUGCAGCUCAAUUCUUUAGAGGUAAAUAAAUUAUAUAAUUCACUUGGUGAGUCAGGUACUGAUAAGUGUGUUUUUACACACUUAUUUAGCUCACAAAUAUGACUUAAACAUGAACAAAGUAGUUGAAUUGUGACUAAAUCUCGUUAAAUUCAUGCAAUGUAGGUGUUUCUAUGGAAAAGAUGGAAUUCAGAAGAAAAGAGCCGAAAUGACCAAAACGGAACAAAGCGAUAGUUCGAGGACCAAAGGUGCAAAUAUUGGGAAGUUGAGCUAAAGUGCAGAACGAGAAUGAAAAUACACCAAGUAUGAGAUUGAGGACGAUACAAGACGAUCGGAGGAAGAAAGAAGUAACAUUGGACUGAAUUGAAGAAAAGUGAAAGAUGAAGAACUAAAUUGCAAUUAAUCAAAAGAUGAGCCGAGCAAGUAAUCAAGGAAUUGAUUGACCCAAACAUCAAUUAGGAGUCAAUAUUUGAUAAUGAAACAAAGGAAAGAAAGAAAAGAGAUCAAGAAAAGAGAAAACGGAUUUCAGGGAUCAAAAUAGCAACGUUGUAAAGUUACUAACUUGCGGCCGCACAUGAGGAGGCAGGGAUAUUAUUGAGGUAGAUCACUUGAACCAUGUGGUCGCAUGGUUUAACACCAUGUGGCCGCAUGGCUUUAAAAUUCGAAGAAAAUUCUGAACUUCCGUUUUCAAUUGAAACUCUUUCGGGACUCCGUAAGGACAUGAUAUAAAAGCUAAAAUUCAUCAGAGAUAGGGCAGAACGUCCAGGGAUAAGAAAAAUAUAACUUUUGGAGGCAAGAAACACGAUCUUGAAGCCGAUUCCACAAGAAUUCAAGCGGGUUUUCAAGGUUUUGUUCAAGAUUUCAAGAAUUUUCAUACGGGUGCUGUUCUUUCUAUUUAUUAAUUUCAUUUUUUUCUGUAAUUAUGAAUAUUCUAGGCUAGGUUUUCAAUUAUUAGGUGAUCGAUGAACCAUUGUUUGUUAUUUUAAUUCCAUAUUUCAUGAAUUUAAUAUAAAGACUCGUUUAGAUAAUUUGAUUGAUUUAUAUGCAUUGAUUUUCUUCCGCAAUUAGUGGCCAAUGAUUGUGUGAGUGUUGAUGACUUAUUGCUUACAUUCAAGAGAAGUGGAAUAGGUUCGAUAAGGUGUAAAUAAACAUAAGGUCCGAUAGGGGAUAGAGAUAUACCCCUAUGCUUUAUGCAAUUCUUUAAUUGUUCACAAAAUCACAUGCAUUCUUAUAUAUUUGCAUCAUCCAUAGAGAUAUAGGCUAGUGGUGUGCAAGAAUAGGUCUAAUAUAUAUUGAGAGAAUAUACUGGAUAGAAUUAGGAACAUUGAAUUGGCAAAUUUCCAUCGGGUCAUUAAUUUUAUGAAAGUAGGGUUUUCAUAACUUCAAUUGGGGAUUCGUGAUCCUAGUGACUUUAGUUUGAUUCAUUUCCAUAAAUUAGCUUUUGAAUUUGCAUAAUUUCAUUUACUUGAGUGUUUGAAUCGUUUAAUUAGAGAAAUUUCGAAAUUAGGGUUUCUAAUUGAGAAAUUAGGGUUUUUAGUUGAAAUUAGGGUUUUUAAUUGAAAUUAGGGCUUUUUUCAUUUAGACCAUAUUUUCACUCAAUUAGAUUCGGUUAAAGCUAGAUUAUAUAGAAUUGAACUACUCAAUCUCUGAGGGACGAUAUUCGGACUUUUUAAAAUCCAGUUUAUUACUUGUUACGAAUCGUACACUUGCAGUAAUUUUAAAUCGAAAUAAUUAUUUCGUGAAUAGGUACGAAAAGCUUGAUUUUUCCAUCAGAACAACAAAAACCUUUAGUUUCUCUAUAAAAUUUAUGGGCAUUACAAUAGAUGGGUGUUGGUAAUAUAUAAGUAGUAGAUGUCAUGUUCAAUCCAUUAAGAGUUCCUUCUAAUUCAAAAUCACAAAUAUAAUGUAUUUGUUUAUUUGAAGUAGAAGCAUUAGGAUCGUGAUGCAUUAUAGAUUCAUGCAAUUGGGGAACAACAAAAGAAUUAUUUCCCGAAUUUAUAGGCUCAUUUAUCCUUUUACGCUGAUCAAUACACCGAGUUCUAAGUCUUUUUCACCGAUCUCUUUCUCUUUGACUUUGUUGUUGACGAAUGGAGGUAUUGUAUGAGUCUUUCCCACAAUUAGAUACAAUGUUAAUGUUCACAAAAGCAGGGUCUUCAUGAGCAGAUGUUUCUAAAAUAUCCAUCGCAAGAGUGGAAGAGACUAUUGUAUAUUGGAAUUCCAAGAUAAGCAGUACAAACAAGAAAAUGAAAUAAAAACUAUUAGAAAAUUUGUUUCAUAUGCAUGUAGGAAGAGUAAACAAUAGAAUAUGUAACAGUGCAUAUUGUGUAAAAAUGUAAUAAUUACAUAACAUGAAUUGCAGUCUCUAUAAAUACAACCCGUAGAAUAAAAAUUUGAACAAAAAGAUUAACAACAACAAUGUGAUUCUGAAAAAAAAAUAUUAAUGUUGGACAAAAAAUGAUGAAAACAAAUAUUCAAGAAAGUAAAAUGAUGCAUUUAUAGAAAUAGACGGAGUUUAAUCAUUCGUUUCCAUGCAUAGGUUGCAUUUCUAAUACUCUAAUAGUAUUCCUAAACAAUUCUUUUUUUGGGAGCAUAGUUUUGUCAUCCUUUCCAAAAGCCUAGAUACAUAAUAGUAUAUUGUUAUCAUAUAAACUUAAACUAAAAUAAAAAGUUAAAUAAUCUUUUUAUCAAGACAAUCUUUUUAUGAAAAUUCUACUUCUCUUUGAGAUAACUGAUAAAUAAAAGCAUAAGAAAUAAUAAAAUGUAUUAACUCCAGAAAUGUUCCUAAAUAAAAAAAUAAAUUUGAUAAUUUAAGUGUAGAAUGUGAGCGCAUGUGUCAAUAUGCUCAAAAAUCGUACAAUCUGGAAACUUUUGAACUCUUUCCCAUUGUUAGUCUUCUCACCCCAAAAUUCUCACACCAAGAAAACAAACAAGAAUUAGGCAAUCAAAGCAAAAUCCAAAGUCACAAAAGUCCAAAUCCUUUCACUUAAACACUGUGAAAUAAGAUCAAUAAUUAAUAAAAGAAUCAAAGCUUUUGAAUUUGAAUUCUUUGUUCUGAACCAAACCCAGAAAAUGGCUUUUCCAAGAUUCUUCAUUUUCCUUCUUUUGAUUGCAUUUGCACCUAUUUUGAUAAAACUCAGGUGUGGAAAUGCAAAAUUGAGAGCAUUAAUGGAUAUAAAAUCAUCUUUGGACCUAGAAAAUAAGUGCUUAUCAUCUUAGGUCAGUGAAGGGAUCCACGCAGUGGAAAAUUUGAAGGUGUGGCAUGUAAUAAGCACAAGAAAGUAAGGGCUCAUCGGAAAAGUGUCGUCGGCGGUGUCGAAGCUCAAGUGUGUGCCCGGUGACUAUUGAGAGAGAGAGAGAGAGAAAUUAGGUUGAAGAGAAAACAGUAGAAGCCCGCUCGUUGCUUUUGCCCAAGUUCGACGAGUCGGUAGCACCAAAUCGGACAACAAAGAAGGGAGUCGGCUACUGGCAGGGUUUCUUUGUUAAUAAGUAAUAGAAUUAACAAUGAGGAAGAUAUUUUGGAUAAAUAGUGUAGAACUAGUUAGAAACAGGUCCAAUGUGAA
rnacentral:lncRNA from 1 species